GUCUUGUUUAUUUGUUUUUGUUUAAAUAUACCUGUUGUUUAUUCGUUUUUGUUUAAUUUCAAUUCAUAUGUAUCAUUUAUAUUUGACUUAAUUCCAUUGGUACAGUAGCCUACAUAAGACAUUCCACAAGGUGCAUUCUAAGGCUUUGGCUGCACGCUUGUUAUUGUCUCUACGGCAACGGCAUUAUUUAGAAUGCAUUUACUUUUAAAGGAACUAGGCUACAGUAAAGUCUUGGAUACGGUGCUACUUUGUAGCUUAGGAAUAGUAACUCUUACGGAGAACAAGGCUACUUGUAUAGCUCUCACGAUGCUACAUUGUAGCUUAAGGACACGACUCUUACGGAGAACAAGGCUUAUCAUAUAGCUCUUACGGUGCUACUUUGUAGCUUAAAGAAGUGGAUUCUUAAGGAUAAAUCUUAGCACUCAGCUGGAACGGGAACAAGCUCUUACGGUGGUCUCAGGACUUUCACAAAGAAAUAAAGAAACCAUCAGUACGCUACAACUGUCCGGCUGGAGUUUGCUACAAAUGUAAUAAAGGGUUUUUGAAAUUCAAAAAAAUUCAAUUCUCUCUCUCUCUCACUCACUCAUGUGAUUACAAGUGAUUUACUUCCUCUGCAGUCGCACUCUCUCACUUUCACCUGUUGAUGGAUUUCUGUGUU